UCCCUAAAUUUGCUUCCUGUUCAUGUUUCUGCUUAGUCUCUGUUCUGCAGUACUUUCAUGUUGACCACUGUGAUUAUCAUCUGUAUCAAAAGUGUUAGCAGUGGGUUGAAUAUUGCUAGAAAGAGCUCUCUCACAGGCUUCAGUGGUGCUUGCUUGGCUUAUUUCAACUGUAGGUGUUUGUGUUUUGGAAUCCACUUAAGUACUUUUGUGAUCUCAUUGUUAUUCCUCUAGGGUCUCGACCUCUGUUAAAAAUGGGGGGUACAUUAGCCACAGCAGAACAACUUACCUUGAUGUUCCACCUUUCCAACAUCUGUGCUACUGAGCCUCAAACUUUGGGAUUGUCAAAAUAUAUCCAACAAAAAAUUAGCUUGAACUCAAGUUGGGUCUACUAGACCCAUUUUUUUUAAAAGCAGUCACUUCUCGGGCCCCUCCAGGAUCAUGGCUCCUGAAGCUUAAGUGUAGUGUAGUGGUUAAGAGUGGUGGACUCAUAAUCUGGUAAACCGGGUUCGCUUCCCCGCUCCUCCACAUGCAGCUGCUGGGUGACCUUGGGCUAGUCACACUUCUCUGAAGUCUCUCAGCCUCACUCACCUCACCGAGUGUUUGUUGUGGGGGAGGAAGGGAAAGGAGAUUGUUAGCUACUUUGAGACUCCUUAAGGGGAGUGAAAGGCGAGAUAUCAAGUCCAAACUCCUCUUCUCUUCUAAGCUUCAUUAGUUUCAUAGUAGAUCCAUCCCUGGUACAAGUAUUUCAGAUUGCCACCAUUGUGCAACUUUACAGAUGAGAAAAAUAAUAGUUGGGCUUUCCUAAAUGUAACAUGUUUGUCACUGGGAACAGAGGUGUAGUUAGGGGGGAUCGGGGGGGGCACUGGGCGCCAUACUGCAGGAGGCAUCACUUACCGUGCCUGAGCCACAAGUCUCUGCUGGGAGUGACGCGGUGGCUCAGACACCUGCAGCCACUGCACUGCUUUUUUGAGCAGUGCGGAGCCUGCAGGGAAUCCGCCCACCGCCUCGCCCUCAGCUGUAGAGCAGCUGAGGGGGAGGUGGCAGGCGGAUACAAGCCCCACAAUGACGUUUUGGGCCGUGUGGAGCUUGCAUGCAGUCCGGCUGCCGCCACACCCUCACCUAUCAUGCUAAAUAUGGAUUCAGUUUAGCUAAAAUUCUAUGUGUGGCAGAACACUUUUAUUAAUUGAGUAUUUGGAAAUUGUGACUUGAAAGUGUUUGUUUUCUGACUGAAAACAAUUGUUUUCAGAAUUGUUUAAAAAUGAGGUGAUUACAGCAUCCAGUCUUUAAGGUAGCUGUUAUGUUUGCUUUUUGCUUAUUGCUUUGUGUUUAUUUCAUGAUUCAUGGAUCAUCUUAUGCUGAAGCAAGAAAAAUGCUGUGUUAAUUGUAUCAAUUAAGAUAAUGGAUAAUAAAAUGCAGUGAAACAUAAAGCCAAUCAUCCAAAUAAUGUAACUUAUUGCUUUGCACUAAUUGAAUUUGACUGUAUUUAUUUCCUGUUUCCAAAGAUGCAGCAUAUUCAGGAAAUUGUUUGGCACUAUGGCCCAUACAGAGACUUUUAAGCUUCAAGUCAUAUAAUUAGAUAAGCUAAGUAUGCAGCCUUGUAUUAUGCUAGCCUGUCAUGGCAUUUUUCUUAAGUGUUUAACAUUUGACUUAAAAAGACUUUGGAGAAUAUAGAUAAAGUUUUCCAAAUAAUGGGCAUGGAGCCUUUUGAAUAAUGUAACGUUAAAUAGCAGAAAUGCUAGACACUAUCCGCAUUCAACUGUACAUUUCCCACUGUGCUAAAUCACAGUUUAACAAGCCAAGAAGGGCGAGUGGAACCACUCCCCUUCCUCUUGCUCCCUCCUGUUGGGUGCCCUCUUUGUUUUUGGUUAGUAAACUGGCGUUAACUGAUCACCCCAUUUUGGUUGUUGAUGGGGGAACUGCUAUUUAAGAUAAGAGUACAGAAGGUAAGAUCGAAGUAGGGAGUGAAUGGUCCCAGCACUCAUUCCUGGUUUGCUAAACUAAACUGGCUUGAGAAACUAUAGUCCAUCCCGUGCAAUGUUGACUGUGAAUGGAAAUAAGUCUCGGAAGCAGAGAUCUUUCUUACAUGAGAGCCAUUUUAACUGAGGAUCCUGGAGAUUAAAUUUGGGGCUCUCUUCUGGUAAAACGUGUUCUCUGCCUCUGAAUCUUAAUUUUUCAGUGUUCUCUCUUAUACAUUUGUGCAUCAAUCUAUGAGAGCCAGCUCAUGAUAUUCGAACUUGGGUGGAAUGAAGCACAUCUUACUAUCUCAGGGCAGAACUACAUGUUGUGUUGAAAUAAUGGUGUGCGCGUGCGCUGUAAUUCAGAUAUGUAUACAAUGGGUACUUGCAUGGAAUAUUUGUUGGACUCGAGGAGAGGGUGCCCAACCCUUCCCACCAAUUCUCUCAUGCAAAUGACUCCCUUGCCGUUCUAAUUUUUAUCUCAGAUUUGCCCUGAAACCAGAAGUCAUCCUAGUGUAGUGGGGUAUCUUUGGGGAGCAUUGGACUAAGGAAAAGUACCUCUUGCACCUAUCAAUUAAUCUUGCCUUGUAAGUUACUCCAACCAGAAAUACAGGAUUGAAGGUCAUGGUUUGCUAAUAACUGGUUCUGCAUUCAGUUUAUGUAGAAGGAAUUUUAAGAGUUUUGACUGACAUUAAAUACUGGAUGGAAAUAAUGAAUUGUAUCUGAAUGUGCUUUAUAUAGAAUGCAAAGUACAUAUGAACAUUACUUAAGCUUUUGCUUGUACAGUACUAACAAUUUCCUGAAUUAGUGUAUAUAAAUGCAGGGAUUGGUCAGGUAAUUAGAACUCUUAUAUUUUCUACCUGUUCAAAUGCUGAAAUGUUGUGGCAAGCAGCAUAGUGCUGUCACUAGGGUGUGCUGUGAUUCCAUGAAUCAGUCUGCCUUUCAUAAUCAAGAUAGCUGCAAAUGAAUUUUUUGUCUGCUUUUGGUGCUGCUUCACGGCCAUGAAUUUUUCAGCACGUUGCUUCACUAUCACCUGGGCAACUGACUGAGUUCCCAUGUUAUUUUCUUUGUGUGUUACAGCAUGUUUCCCUGCUCUUCAGUGUACUCAUGUGAAUGAAUGAAAAUCUCAGGCUUGUUAGCAUAGUAUCCAAAAGUCUCAGAAGAGGGCCGUGGUACAAUGCAGCGAUCACGUCUUUUAUUUCUUCAAACAACAGUGGCUGCCAAAUGGGUGUUUUUAAAAAUUAGAUAUCACUGGUCUUUAAAGCAGUUUGCUGCUGUAGAGUAGCUAGGGCAGUACUGAUCUCACUAGUAAUGUAACUGAUCUCCAUCAUGUAACUAGCAUUUGGGUGAGGGGGGAAAAAUAGUAAACUAUAGAUUAUGCCAUUCUCUACCUUGUUGCUGCUCAUCUUUUAGUAAGGUGGAGAAGGAAAUAUAUAUAUACAUACACAGAGUAAACCCCCUAUUUAUGCUAGAGUUACUUUCCAGGGAUUACACCUAAAGCUAAAAUUGUGUUAUAGUUAAGGCCAGUUGGGCUCAAUGGCGGGUGGGAUUGCUAAUCCUGCCCACCCCUUUCCAUCUCCUUUUUAUUUAUUUUUUGCCAAGUACUGUACAUGAAACUGAAUACACACAAGUUAAAUGCACACAACUUGCAGGCUUGUUAUGUUGACAGUGCAUGAACUUUUUUAGUAUCAUGAAUAUUACUGUUCUCUAUUUUUGUAUUUUUAAUGUUUGUAAGAUUCUGUAAAGAGCAGUGAAUACAUUUAAUAAUAAUGAUAACGGUAAUAAAUAACUUCGUUGGAAGCUUACUCGGGACCAAAUAAGCUAUGUGCUUAAAUAAAUAGCUGUCCCUACCUGUGACUACAAGGUUUCAUCCUGACUCCAUUCCUUGUUCUUCCCUGGAUGGGGGAUUUUUGAAACCAAAAGUUACAAAGCUAAAUAUGUGAACUGCCUUGGGAAGAACAUCUCACAGGGGGCCACCACUGAAAUGGCAUGUUCUUUUAUUGCCACCUUUCUCACAGCCCUUUGACAAGGCACAUAGAUAAGUGCCUCAGAUUAUGAUCGUACAGCCCAAGUUGAUUAAUGAAUCUUUUUAUUUAAUUUUCUAACUGUGUGGGAUUUUUCUUUUUAGUUAUUUUCAUGAACUUGCUUUCAGCCUUUUUGCAUUAUAGAAUUAAUUGCACUCCCCCUGCCCCAGUCAUAUGAAGCUUUAAAGAACUAUAAUGAACUUUCUAGGAUGUACUGAACUAUUUGCUUCCUUUGAACUACAAGCCAUGUGAAAAUUGCUUUAAAAACCCUAGGAAGGUAUUUGCAUUUAGUGCUUUUCUCUUGAAUGAGACAUAAUAAAGCAGAGGUCUUGACUAGCCUCAAAAAUCGUAGGUAAUGAGCCUGCAUAAAAGUACCAAGUUGUUCUGAUGAUUUGGCUAAAUUUCAAUCCAUAUAAUUAACUGAAACAACACUUGUUAUUAUGUCUUCUUUUUUGCCCAACAUUUUGUAGGUCUUGUGUCUGAAACUGUAGGUCAAUCUCAGAAUGUUUAUUGGACUGAAUGAAAGUUUGCCAAAAUUUAGGGAGGGAGAUGUUAAUUGGAGAUAACACAUGAAAUGACCUGUGUCCAGAUUGGUUCAGGUAAUGCUGUUUAUAUAAGAAAUUAUUUGACCCAAAAACAUAAUCUGCAUUGUGUUUCAUUUUUCAAAAAAUAUUGCAAUCCUAAUAAAGUCAUUCUAUUACCUUCCAGGGAAUUAUACCUUAUAAUUAAUACUGGAAGGGCCCAUUCUUUCCAAAAGUAGAAUAGGUUACAUAUGACAUAAUUUGUGAAUAUUCUGCUAUAAAUUCUCAUCACCAUUUUUCACCUUUGUGUGAGCUUUGAAAUCUUCCUUCCUUCCUUCCUUCCUUCCUUCCUUCCUUCCUUCCUUCCUUCUACCGUGGGCCAAUUCAGACAUAUUCCAUUCACACACAUCUGCCAACUUCCCCAUGUGAGUUCAAUAGUCAAUGUUAUUGAAGUUCUCACAUCUAAAUAAUGAUGGGACCCUGUGGUCCAGAUAUUACUUACCCAUGCACCAUGAAAGAAAACAAGGAGGAAUCACAUAAAUCCAUGCAGAUUAUGGACUCCCAU
rnacentral:lncRNA from 1 species